UGAGACUGGUGACAGGGGAGACUGAGAUGAGAGGUGAGACUGUGGAAGUGAGAGGGUGAGACUGGAGAUGAAAAGGUGAGACUGUGGAGCUGAGAGGGUGAGACUGGAGAUGAGACUGUGGGUGACAGGGUGAGACUGUGGAGAUGAGAGGGUGAGACUGGUGACAGGGUGAGACUGUGGAGGUGAGAGGGUGAGACUGUGGAGAUGAAAGGGUGAGACUGAUGACAGGGUGAGACUGGAGGUGAGACUGGAGAUGAGAGGGUGAGACUGGUGACAGGGUGAGACUGUGGAGAUGAAAGGGUGAGACUGAUGACCGGGUGAGACUGGAGAUGAGAGGGUGAGACUGGAAAUGAGAGGAUAAGGUGAGGGGGUGACAAGAUGAUAUUGGGAAAUGAGAGGAUGAGACUGAAGAGACAGUCUACGAUGACUGGGUUAUGUAGUGUUGCAUAAUUCCAGCAGGUGGCAGUGGAAGAGUGAAAGAAAAUGUACUUCCUGUUCACACUGACGUUCACACGCUCAUGUGUCAGAUGAUUUUCAUCUGAAAACAGGCGUGUGGAUGUUUUCAUCCUGUGAAGACUUUAAUUUAUUCAUUCAUUCAUUCACCGUUCAUCUCGUGUUAAUGCUAGUGUGUGAAGAAAAGAGUAAACGUCUUCAGAAAAAUCUCUCGUCACACGCAAAGGUUAACGUUCAUCUGGACGGUUCCUCCUUUCCUCGUCUCCUCGUCUCCUCGUCUCCUCGUCAUCUUCAUGAGUUGUGUCCAGUGCGUGACUUAAGGCAGCUGUGAGUCAGGAGGAGGAGGAGGAGGAGGAGGAGGAGGAGGAAUGAUGCUGGUAAACACAGGUGAGCGUCACAGAUGAUGACCUCAGUGAUGGGUCAGAGGUCAGAGGUCAGCUUUAAUGAUGAGUCUGUUCCUGAUGACGAUCUCUGCCUUCAUCGUCCACACUCACGAGGUGACCCUCGUCCUCCUCCGUCCUCUCCAAGGGUCACAUGGCGAGGGGCGGAGUCACAUCACAGGAGUGCCAGCAGUGAGGCAUGAAACAGAAGAGUUAAACGUAACCACGUCGAUUUAACCGAGCGCGAGGGAGAAUAUCUGCCUCGCUGCCGAGGCCCCGGGGGCCCCCGGGGGCCCGGCCCUCACCCUCUCCCUCUGUUGCUGCUCUCACGGCGACACAGUGGUGGGUUUGUGUUGGGGACGAGACAAAGACAGGAUGGGGCUGAAUCUACACCUUUCCCCCACAAAGCUGUUUCCUCCUGGGUGCAAUUUUCACCUUUUGUUGGAGGUGACUGUGACGGGUGAGGAGAGAAAAGACUGGAAACACCUCUGUGCUCCGCAGCUGUCUGCUAAUUCUUUAAUUCCCCACCCGGUAAUUAUAAUUCUUUAUCUCUGCAGUCACGCAAGAUAAUGGAAAUUGUAUAGUAAUAAGUCUGAGGUUCACACGUGUUUAUAGAUGCUGAGGGUUCUUCAGAGCACAUGUGGUGCCAACACUUCAUUUUCAGCCUCUGCUAAUGAAUGUGGGCGGGGCUUUGUUUCUAUUAUGGAGCAAUUAAGAGAAAAUAAAAGAUAAACUGGAGGAUUCAUAAAACACAAGAGGGA